AAUCCACAGGAUAAUAUUUCUAUAUCAGUAAAAUUUAUAUAAUUAAUUCUUAGAUUGUAUUUUACAGAAAACAUUGACCUAGGUCUCAUAAUAAAUGUACCUACUGAGAUACCAUUUAAUUUGGUAUCUCGUGAGGGUUUUAAAAAAAUACAGUUUUUUUAAGAAUACGACUUUCUAAAGGCUAUCUUGGAAGAUCUAUUCUAUAUCGUCCAAAUUUGAUUGAAUGUGAAUCUACAAUAGCAGAUGCUUGGUCUACAUUUAGAAAGUACUUACAUUUGAAUGCUAAUCAUAGUUGUCAUCCAUACAACCUUUGAAAAGUAAACAUACUUAUGACAUAUUGGCUGGAGCAAUGGAGCCAGCGGAGCCUUUGACAUAAAUUAUGAAAUAGUGAAAACAACAAAUAAUGGAUCAAAUUUCAUAAUCCAAGAUAAUCAUCAAAUAUUGUAUCCAUGAUAUUGGAUCAAGUGUUUGCCACAACUCUUCUAUAAACUACCUUUCAAGUAAGCUCCAUUUACUUCAAUAUUGUAUUUUUUUUCACGACAUGCCAAAGAUCUAGAUAGACUGAGUAUUUGCAACUCCUAUACUUGGAUCAAUAAAAUGUUGGACAUGAUUCGCUGUUUUAUGGGUAAACCCGUGUUAAUUUAAUGUGCCGUAUGCCCUUCAUUGGUCACUAUGGGUUGUGGCUCCCUAUUCAACAUCU
rnacentral:lncRNA from 1 species